GAGGGCUGCGGCGUGCUAUACAUGCAGUCGAACGGAGUUGUUGUAGCAAUACGGCAACUUAGUGGCGAACGGGUGAGUAACGCGUUGGUGACCUGCCCCGAAGAGGGGGAUAACAGUCCGAAAGGAUUGCUAAUACCCCAUGUGGUUACCGGUUUUAGAAUCCGGCAACUAAAGUCGUAAGACACUUUGGGAGGGACCUGCGUCCCAUCAGCUAGUUGGUAAGGUAACGGCUUACCAAGGCGACGACGGAUAGGGGACCUGAGAGGGUGGACCCCCACAAUGGCACUGAAACACGGGCCAUACACCUACGGGUGGCAGCAGUAGGGAAUAUUGCUUAAUGUGCGAAAGCGCGAAGCAGCAACGCCGCGUGUGCGAUGAAGGCCUUCGGGUCGUAAAGCACUUUUUAGAGGGAUGAGAAAGGACAGUACCUCUAGAAUAAGCCUCGGCUAACUACGUGCCAGCAGCCGCGGUAAAACGUAGGGGGCGAGCGUUAUCCGGAAUUACUGGGCGUAAAGCGCGUGCAGGCGGUUCGGUUAGUUGGAUGUGAAAGCUCCUGGCUUAACUGGGAGAGGUCGUUCAAUACUGCCGGACUUGAGAGUGGUAGAGGGAGAUGGAAUUCCGCAUGUAGUGGUGAAAUGCGUAGAUAUGCGGAGGAACACCAGUGGCGAAAGCGGUCUCCUGGCCCACUUCUGACGCUCAGACGCGAAAGCUAGGGUAGCAAACGGGAUUAGAGACCCCGGUAGUCCUAGCUGUAAACGAUGUUAACUUGGCGUCGGAGGCUUCAAAACCUUCGGUGCCGUAGCAAACGCGAUAAGUUAACCGCCUGAGGACUACGGCCGCAAGGUUAAAACUCAAAGGAAUUGACGGGUCCCCGCACAAGCAGCGGAGCGUGUGGUUUAAUUCGAUGCUACACGAAGAACCUUACCAAGGCUUGACAUGCAAGUAGUAUGAAACCGAAAGGCAACCGAUCCUUCGGGAAGCUUGCACAGGUGCUGCAUGGCUGUCGUCAGCUCGUGUCGUGAGAUGUUCGGUUAAGUCCGCUAACGAGCGCAACCCUCACUGUGGGGUUUUACGUGUCGGCAUGGGGCUGCCUGUCUAAACAGGAGGAAGGUGGGGGGAUGACGUCAAGUCAGCAUGGCCCUUUAAUACCUUUGGGGCUACCACACCACACGCCUAACAAGGGCCCACCCCA
rnacentral:rRNA from 1 species